rnacentral:rRNA from 1 species
AAAGUUUGACCUCAAAUCAGGUAGGAUUACCCGCUGAACUUAAGCAUAUCAAUAAGCGGAGGAAA